rnacentral:rRNA from 1 species
GUUCUUAACCAUAAACUAUGCCGACUAGGGAUCGGCCGGUGUUAUUAUUUUGACCCGGUCGGCACCUUACGAGAAAUCAAAGUCUUUGGGUUCUGGGGGAGUAUGGUCGCAAGGCUGAAACUUAAAGAAAUUGACGGAAAGGCACCACCAGGCGUAAGCACUUGCUUCUAGCAGACUCUGCGCCUUAAUGAAUGGCCGCAAUAGCGGCCAGCAAGUCAGCUCCGGCUGGCGAUACACCCAAAUUGCGAGAAGUUCCAGGUGUGCCUCCGGUACCUCCGUAGUUGCGAAAGCACUACGUACGGUCACAAUCCGGAAGCAUCUUAAUGGAUUACCCGCAGCUCAGACCUAAGGCACAGACUAUGGCUUGAAGUACAGAGAUCAAAUGGGUAGAGACAGUUUAUUUCACUAUCAUACAUUAGUGAAGAAUUGUUUAAGAUGUGAUCCAGCCCACCAAGUUGUCUUGGUGGUAUUAGAGGGAGCCUGCGGCUUAAUUUGACUCAACACGG